UCGGGUUGUAAAGCACUUUUGUCCGGAAAGAAAACCUCGGGGCUAAUACCACUGGAGGAUGACGGUACCGGAAGAGUAAGCACCGGCUAACUACGUGCCAGCAGCGCGGUAAUCGUAGGGUGCGAGCGUUAAUCGGAAUUACUGGGCGUAAAGCGUGCGCAGGCGGUCUGUUAAGACAGAUGUGAAAUCCCCGGGCUUAACCUGGGAACUGCAUUUGUGACUGGCAGGCUAGAGUAUGGCAGAGGGGGGUAGAAUUCCACGUGUAGCAGUGAAAUGCGUAGAGAUGUGGAGGAAUACCGAUGGCGAAGGCAGCCCCCUGGGCCAAUACUGACGCUCAUGCACGAAAGCGUGGGGAGCAAACAGGAUUAGAUACCCUGGUAGUCCACGCCCUAAACGAUGUCAACUAGUUGUUGGGGAUUCAUUUCCUUAGUAACGUAGCUAACGCGUGAAGUUGACCGCCUGGGGAGUACGGUCGCAAGAUUAAAACUCAAAGGAAUUGACGGGGACCCGCACAAGCGGUGGAUGAAUGUGGAUUAAUUCGAUGCAACGCGAAAAACCUUACCUACCCUUGACAUGGUCGGAACCCUGGUG
rnacentral:rRNA from 1 species